CACACUCACUACAUUUACCCAAAUUAUUUCACUUCCUUCUUUCUUCUACAAAACAGUAUGAAGAAAAGAACAAGAGUGAUGAGAAGGAGGAAUUAGCAGUGUUUGUUUUGAGGGGAAUGUUGUUUGGCUCGAGGCCACCAACUUGAUCCAGUAUAUUACUCACAGAUCAACAAUUGUUCGAUUUGAUUAUGGAUCAUGUGUUUGUGUCGUCGGACCAGGCUUCAUUCCCCUCAAAUCUUGCUUCCUCCUUACGAGCAUGCAAAGUCAGAUGCAGGAUUUAAACUUUUUUUGUCGAACUAACCACAUAUUAUUAAGCACAAAACAAAUACGAAGGUCCCAAGUUACAUCAACAGAAAUCUAAAAGAGACCAAACAAAAAAAAGAGCUUCCUCUACUAACUGCUAAGCUAUUUCCUACUCCUCAGCUAUACAAUUACUCUCUGCAAUAUUUCUAUAUCUGUACUUCGUGUGCGAAAAUAAUGGAUUCCAUUGACCCUGUCAAAUGUAUGAUCCAUCCAUAAUGCGGAACAAGAAGAAGUAACAAUCUCUUCCAAACCUCUGAUUCAGUCUUUAUGUUAAUGUUAUGGAUUUGGUCAUGACAAAAGCAGAUUGGUGAAAUCAUUGAGGAUUUUACUCCUACUACGAAUUUUUCCUAUACCAGGGGGUUAAGAGUAAGAGUUUCAUCAUUUACCAUGCUUAAAUUUGUAUUACAGUAUAUCUUUACUCAUACUCUUAAAUAGUAUGAUGCUGCUUUUUA